rnacentral:rRNA from 1 species
UACGUAGGGGGCAAGCGUUGUCCGGAAUUAUUGGGCGUAAAGAGCUCGUAGGCGGCCUGUCGCGUCGGCUGUGAAAACCCGGGGCUCAACCCCGGGCCUGCAGUCGAUACGGGCAGGCUAGAGUUCGGCAGGGGAGACUGGAAUUCCUGGUGUAGCGGUGAAAUGCGCAGAUAUCAGGAGGAACACCGGUGGCGAAGGCGGGUCUCUGGGCCGAUACUGACGCUGAGGAGCGAAAGCGUGGGGAGCGAACAGG